rnacentral:rRNA from 1 species
AUUGAACGCUGGUGGCAGGCUUAACACAUGCAAGUCGAACGGUAACAGGAAUUAGCUUGCUAAUUUGCUGACGCGUGGCGGACGGGUGUGUAAUGCUUGGGAAUCUGGCUUAUGGAGGGGGAUAACUACGGGAAACUGUAGCUAAUACCGCGUAAAAUCUUCGGAUUAAAGGGUGGGACUUUCGAGCCACCUGCCAUAAGAUGAGCCCGAGUGGGAUUAGGUAGUUGGUUAGGUAAAGGCUGACCAAGCCGACGAUCUCUAGCUGGUCUGAGAGGAUGACCAGCCACACUGGAACUGAGACACGGCCCAGACUCCUACGGGAGGCAGCAGUGGGGAAUAUUGCACAAUGGGGGGAACCCUGAUGCAGCCAUGCCGCGUGAAUGAAGAAGGCCUUCGGGUUGUAAAGUUCUUUCGGUGACGAGGAAGGUUGAUAGGUUAAUAGCCUAUCAAAUUGACGGUAAUCACAGAAGAAGCAACGGCUAACUCCGUG